AGUUUUUCUGUAUGAAAUAAUACAAAGAUACCACAGCGUGUAGUCUGAUGCUGGACAAAGGUCAGGUUGUGAACCCGUAGCUGAACCCCAAAUAGCUGGGUUGAUGACAUACUUUGGAUAGAAGACUGAAGAUGCCUUGACAGGAUGAGUGGCCAACCUGAUUCUGCAGAGGGAUGCAGGGAAAAAGUGACCGGGAGCGAGGUGAAUUUCUUGGAGACUGUUUUGGUGAAGGCCAGGGAGAACUGCGAGGUGACGGUGAGA